rnacentral:rRNA from 1 species
UGAGCAAUCUGCCCUUCUCUUCGGAAUAAGCGUUGGAAACGACGUCUAAUGCCGAAUACGACCUCCUUUCGCAUGAUCGGAGGUGGAAAGCUCCGGCGGAGAAGGAUGAGCUCGCGGCCUAUCAGCUAGUUGGUGUGGGUAAUGGCCCACAAGGCGACGACGGGUAGCCGGCCUGAGGAGGGUGACCCGGCCACACGUGGGACUGAGACACCGGCCCAGACCUCCGUACGGGAGGNAGCG